rnacentral:rRNA from 1 species
CCUACGGGAGGCAGCAGUGAGGAAUAUUGGUCAAUGGACGAGAGUCUGAACCAGCCAAGUAGCGUGAAGGAUGACUGCCCUAUGGGUUGUAAACUUCUUUUAUAUAGGAAUAAAAUGUUCCACGUGUGGGAUUUUGUAUGUACCAUAUGAAUAAGGAUCGGCUAACCCCGUGCCAGCAGCCGCGGUAAUACGGAGGAUCCGAGCGUUAUCCGGAUUUAUUGGGUUUAAAGGGAGCGUAGGUGGAUUGUUAAGUCAGUUGUGAAAGUUUGCGGCUCAACCGUAAAAUUGCAGUUGAAACUGGCAGUCUUGAGUACAGUAGAGGUGGGCGGAAUUCGUGGUGUAGCGGUGAAAUGCUUAGAUAUCACGAAGAACUCCGAUUGCGAAGGCAGUUCACUGGACUGCAACUGACACUGAGGCUCGAAAGUGUGGGUAUCAAACAGGAUUAGAUACCCUAGUAGUC